rnacentral:rRNA from 1 species
GACGAACGCUGGCGGCGUGCUUAACACAUGCAAGUCGAACGAAGUGGCGAACGGGUGAGUAACGCGUAAUCAACCUGCCCUUCAGAGGGGGACAACAGUGGGACACGACUGCUAAUACCGCAUACUGAAGGAGGGGAUUGCGUCGGAUUAGUUAGUUGGCGGGGUAACGGCCCACCAAGGCGAGGAUCCGUAGACGGGCUGAGAGGGUGAACGGCCACAUUGGGACUGAGAAACGGCCCAGACGUCUACGGGAGGCAGCAGUUGGGAAUCGUCCGAAAUGGACGAAAGUCUGACGGAGCAACGCCGCGUGAGUGAUGACGGCUUUCGGGUUGUAAAGCUCUGUUAAUCUGGACGCGGUACCUGAAUAGAAAGCCACGGCUAACUACGUGCCAGCAGCCGCGGUAAUUC